AUAAAAUAAAAAUUGCGUAGUUAUCUAACACAGUUAAAUGACAAUCACAAACAGCAGCAGGAAGUUGAGCGAGGAGGAAGUUCCUGUGUGUGUUUGUGACUGAUCUGCAGUGACUUACAGCUCAAGCACUGAGAGCCUCAACAGAGAACUGAUCUGAUCUGAUUCAACAUGGACACAUGCUUCAUACUGAUUCUCAUUGUGGGAACGGGUUUGGUGACUGGAGACAACAUUGAGCCAGAUAAAGAGAGAGAAAAAAACACUAAAGAAACAGAAACUGUCAAGAUGAGCUGCUCAUAUAGUACAAACAGUGAAUUUGUUGUACUUUACUGGUACAGACAAUAUCCAAACAAAGAACCUCAGUAUUUAUUACGCAAAGGAGCUCGAUCAUGGAGUGGUUCUUAUGAUCACACUCCUGAUCGUCGGUUUCAGUCGACUGCAUCACGAUCAUCCACUGAACUCACUAUUACUGAUGUUCGUCUGUCAGAUUCAGCUCUCUAUUAUUGUGCUCUAAGAGUUGGAGCCCAGUGAUACAAAACAUGAAACACGUCGUACAAAAACCUGAAGCUCUUUUCACUUUGAACCGAUCUAGUGAAAACCACAAUCAAAACCACAAUCUAUCCAGCCCCAAAUAUAAUAAAAUAUGUGGUAACACCUGUGU